CCUAAUAAAAGGAGUUUACACACCGAAAUGCGUCAUCCUCCACGCGGCGUUGCUGCAUCAGAGUUUCCUCCAUUGUGCAAUAUUCCUCACUGCUGCCUCCCGUAAG
rnacentral:rRNA from 1 species